AUGGAAGGCGACGGCGGCACGGCGGCGGCCUGGAUGGCGACGCACCGCGGGAUGUACGAGCGGGCCACGCGGCACCCCUUCACCGUCUCGAUCCGCGACGGUUCCGUCGACCUGGCCGCCUUCAAACGCUGGCUCGGUCAGGACUACAUGUUCGUGCGGGAAUUUGUUGCAUUUCUAGCUAGUGUACUGCUCAAGUGUUGCAAAGAGUCAGACAGCUCGGACAUGGAAACAAUCCUAGGUGGCUUGGCUUCUCUUAGUGAUGAGCUCUCUUGGUUCAAGAAGGAAGCUGCUAAAUGGAGUGUUGAUCUGGCCGGUAUUUCUCCCCUCAGUUCUACUCCCUCCGUUCCAAAGUUUCUCCAAAGCCUUGAUGAUCCAGAGAUCAGCUACAGUGUAGCCAUAACUACAUUUUGGAUAAUCGAAACCGUGUACCAGGAUAGUUUUGCUUUCUGCAUAGAAGAAGGUAACAAGACGCCGGCGGAGCUCGGGACCUGUCAGAGAUGGGGCAGCCCUGAGUUCAAGCAGUACUGCCAGUCUCUGCAGCGGAUCGCUGAUCGCUGCUUGGCGAAUGCGCCACAUGAUGUUGUUGUUGUCAAGAGAGCUGAAGAGGCCUUUCUUGGUGUGCUCGAGCUGGAGAUUGGAUUCUGGGACAUGAGUUCUUCUCAGUCCUAA
rnacentral:rRNA from 1 species